UCAAUUGAAUAAAUAAAACCAUCAUGUGAUCUCUUAGGAAGGAAGUGAUAAUACCUAGGCGAGGAGACAAUAAGAACAAAUUAUCAGAUUAGUUGAUGUUUAAAUCUUUGCUUUCUCUGCAAGAUUUAAAAUUAUGCUACUUUGUUACAAAGAAGGAAUUUAUUUCUUAGUUAAAGAAAAACCUCAGAUUUUUAGCCUUAUAAUUAGUUUUCCUAAAACCAAUUAGCAAACAUUGGUCUUUUCUACAAUUGACAGACUUUUUCUUUUCCCUUUCUAGAAUUGCUACUUGAUCUGCUUCAGUUUGAAAUAUCUGGAGGAUGGAUGAUUACUUGGCCAUGGUUACCUAUGAACUGAAAAAAAUUCCCAAGCACAUCAUAAACAACCUUUCAGAAUCCCAAGAUGAGGAUCACUAUGUCCAUGUCAAAAUUUUGAGACAACUCUGAAGACUUUCAUCAGUUUCCAGUUCCAUGGACCGAAUCAACUAUAUGAAAGUUGUGAGAUUGAAAUACAAGUUCGUGAUUAGUGAAAAUAAAAAUUUUCAAUUUACAUAAAAUCAUAAA